rnacentral:lncRNA from 1 species
CUAGAGUCAGCGGGCAGCCAGAGAGGAUAUCUGGACGACGUGGUCAUGGUCGGGCAGAAACCAAAGGCUUUGCACCCUCUGCUGUUCCAGAACACAUCCUGAUUUCCCCAGCACAAGGCUCUUCAGAGAUGUAAACAAUGAAGCAUCCUUGGUUCCAAGGCCAGCUGCGCCUCUGUCGUUGGCUUACUGUCAACCAAGCAGCCCAAACAGAGCUAACUGACGGUGCUGCCCAACAGCGACGCCCCCACGAGGACUUCCCCUGCCUCUCAGCAGCUGGACCACAUGUUACCUUCUGUACCCCAGCAGCAAAAUAUGACCCCUACACAACAUUUCAGAGAAGCCUGAGCCCUGCGGAGUGCAAUGAACCACAGCCCUCCUCUAAGACCCUGAGAAUGCUGACUCUCGGAAAUCGAAUGGCUGUUGCCAAAAGAAACAGGAACCCCAGGUCCAAGCCUUGGGUUUGGCUUAACCUGCCCAACACGUCCGGUGGGUACCUCUGGGGAAAGCCAACCACAUCUGGAGAGCGUGAACUCACCACGCUCUGGGACGCUGCCACAGGAUGAGAGGGUUACUAUUUUCAAACUGGAAAACUGUCAUGUUGUUGUUGUUGGUGCACAGUUGCCAGAUAGAUCCCAGCCGGAGCUGGCCACCAAGCCUGGUGCAACAUUCCUCAUGGGCAGAGUUGGUUCAGAGUGUCACAUGCAUGGGCCACAUUGAGGCCUGGCUGCCAGGAGCCCAGCCAAGCCGAGAGAUGGCAGCAGCCCCCAGGGCAGGGAGAGGAGACUUUUCUUGGGUGUUGGCGAGGAAAA